GAUAGAACGUAGCGAAAUGCGAUACGUAAUGUGAAUUGCAGAAUUCAGUGAAUCAUCGAAUCUUUGAACGCAUAUUGCGCUCUCUGGUAUUCCGGAGAGCAUGCUUGUUUGAGUAUCAGUAAACACCUCAACUUCCAUAUCUUUUUUGAAAUGGGAGUUGGACUUGAGUGAUCCCAACGCUUUUCCUCACCGAAAAGUGGCGGGUUACUUGAAAUGCAGGUGCAGCUGGACUUUUCUCUGAGUUAUAAGCAUAUCUAUUUAGUCUGCCUAAAAAACAGAUUAUUACCUUUGCUGCAGCUAACAUAAAGGAGAUUAGUUCUUGUGCUGACUGAUGCAGGAUUCACAAAGACAGGCUUCGGCCGACUUUGUAAACUCGAUCUCAAAUCAAGUAAGACUACCCGCUGAACUUAAGCAUAUCAAUAAGCGGAGGA
rnacentral:misc_RNA from 1 species